rnacentral:rRNA from 1 species
UAGGGAAUCUUCCACAAUGGGCGCAAGCCUGAUGGAGCAACACCGCGUGAGUGAAGAAGGGUUUCGGCUCGUAAAGCUCUGUUGUUGGAGAAGAACGUGCGUGAGAGUAACUGUUCACGCAGUGACGGUAGCCAACCAGCAAGUUACGGAUAACUACGUGCUCACAACCGCGGUAAUACGUAGGUGGCAAGCGUUAUCCGGAUUUAUUGGGCGUAAAGCGAGCGCAGGCGGUUGCUUAGGUCUGAUGUGAAAGCCUUCGGCUUAACCGAAGAAGUGCAUCGGAAACCGGGCGACUUGAGUGCAGAAGAGGACAGUGGAACUCCAUGUGUAGCGGUGGAAUGCGUAGAUAUAUGGAAGAACACCAGUGGCGAAGGCGGCUCUCUGGUCUGCAACUGACGCUGAGGCUCGAAAGCAUGGGUAGCGAACAGG